rnacentral:lncRNA from 1 species
AAGGUCGAUUGCCAAAGGAGUGAACACAAUCAAAGGUGGAAGAGGCCAUACAAUAUGUUGGUAGAGGCCACACAUGGACGGAUCGCAAUCUGAGUUCAUCCCAUAAUGAUCAGAAUGCAAUGGAGAUGUCACCAGGAGGCGACAUGGUGUAGCGAAUCGUGGUGGAAUAGUUCGUGGCAAUGUGAUACACACAGAUUGUAGUCCCGUGAGGGAUUAUCUCAUACGGAGGUAUGAUCGGGAGCUAUUGGAAGCUCUACUUCGGUGAACACAACAUCAAGAAAGGCUAUGGAUUCAAUGAGUGAUGGUCAUGGUACCGUAGAGGCGGGUCUUCCAUGCAUGCAUUGAGUUUUACAUCAGAUAAAAGCAAUGGUUAUCAGCAUAUGGGGGCUAUGUACUACUGAGAAAAAAGUUCGAAUGCAACCAGUGAGCCCCAUGGGAGGGACUUGAUCAUGCAGAGGUAUGAUCGAAGUAGUUGGAGAGUUGGACUACUCUAGAGCCCAUAUUCGCUUAAGGGGGCCCGACAAGUCAGAAGAUAAGGUUGAGUAAGCGAACAUUGCUACCAAGGAAGCUAAGGAGAACAGAAUCGAUGUGAACCCUGAAACAUGAUGGUAGAGACCAUGCAUGGGAGUUACAGUCUGUCUUUCCAUCGAUCAAGGGGAAUUGCUUGGAAAACAUAGAGGUGUUGAAGCAGGGGGUCGAAAGAUGUUAAGAAGCAACGACGAGUCUAGAGAAACUUAGCUACCCAAAACCAAGCAUCGAUUAGAAUAGAGGUGGACUCGGAGGAGUGUCACAGUGCCAUAGAGGCAGAUCUACCGAUCGUAAAGAAAGGGAUAUAGAUGUGAGGCGACGGAUAAUAGGGCCAUAGGCAUGACAGCGCCAUAGUACCGCAGAGGCAGGACUUCCGUGAAGUCAUUGAUCCCUUGCUCUCAUGAAGGGAGAGUGCUUGGUCAUGAAAGGGGCCGAGAAGGUGGAGUAUGCGAAGGCAAACUCUAAGUACCAAGACAAGGCUGAAGGGCAGCGGCCAAAGAACUUCGUAAGACCGGUGUCAAUGAGCUUCUCAUCAAAAUAGCUAAAAGUGAAUGAUUUUGGGUCGUGCAAGAGUACAUGACCAAGGAACGAAGUAGGCAGUAUGCGAUAUUGUACCUUUGCUACUCAGUAGAGUAGGCGGCAAGGUUGAUGAAGAAGAUAGUACAAUCCUAAAGGCGACCAAAACUAUUAGAGACUUACUCCAAAUGGAGUGAAAACUUCUUACAUUCCAGAAGUUUGAUGGCAUUGAGAAGGUGAAUCACAGUAGCUAACUCAACGCAAGGAGUGCAAACACUUCAAGUGCUUCAGAAGUGUGAGCAAAGAGCAGGCGAAAGCUAGUAACCAGCUUGAUGCAUGGAGUAUAACCCUCGAGGAGGCGGACAAAGUCAAGUAACCUUUGCCUUCUCAACUCUUAAUAGAAUGGGUGAAAUCAAGUAUCCUAAUUCUCUUAUCUAUCCAACAGAGGAACUCUUCACAGGUUCAAAGACCCUUCAAAGAUAAUGGAAGAUAAUAAUUAUCAAAUCCUCACCAAUGGUAAUCAGUGCUAUUGAGAGUAGAUUAUCCGCUUCAUUUCCCAACAGAAUGUCAAUCGAAAGCGGAAGUGAUGCAAAUCUACUUGGAAGUGACAACUAAGUAAAAGAAGAGUAGAUGGGCAAAUUUGGUGAAGGACCCAAAACUUCAAAAGUUUGUGAGGCGAUGCUCGUUAAACCUCCAAUAAGCAUCCACCCAGUUUAAGCAAUAUGAGAUAUUUGGGAGACUGGCGCAUAGUAAGGAUGGUCUUUUUUUUCAUCUAAAGGAUCCGCAGGAACCAACAGGGAUGUACACAACUCAGCCAAACCCACACUAGAGUCAGAGUCAUUAGCGAGUUAAAGUAGUGUGGCAGAUCAAAAGUUUGACUACUCAACAACAGUAGUAGAGAGCAGCUAGGAGCCAAGAGGCGCAUUAUAGUUAGAGCAGAAGAUUGAAGGCUCAACAAAGGCGAUGGGUUGCAGUGUCGGCAAAGGCUUCAACAAGAACGUCGAAGGAAUAAAUGGGGGUUUGUUCAUGCUUAUGUAUGUCUGUAUCUCUUGGUUUGUUCAUGCUUUGUACAACAUGUAGAGAGACGGUCGAAGGCUUAAUAGCCCCAUUUUAGUUGGGUUUGGUAGCCGUUUUAGGCUUGUAAAUAAAGAUUAUGUUAAGUGGAUACUUAUGAGAGAUAUUCGAUCUAUAGUGGACCAUUUUGACCCUUUGUUGUGUAACCAUUCAGAGCUUGCAAAGUGUAUUUGUAAUUUGCAUUGGCUAUGAAGUAUUUUUGAAAAUGUUUGCUUGUGAAUCUCGAGUGAGGCGCUUUCUCUAACCCAUUUUCUCUUUUGUAGGUCCUAAGAGACCAUUGGAGGUUUCAGGAAGGUUGACCUUUGCGGACGGACACGCAAGGGUGCCCACGGCUUAUGCAAAACCAGCUAAGUUCGUGAUAGAGUGGCAAACAAGCUACUCGACAUCUGCAUUAGUGGCCCUUUCGCUGCUCGGCAAUUGCAUCAGUGUCGACGCAAAUGCAAAGCAGCAUUGCUCGGCAACUGCAUCGGCGCUAACGUAGAUGCAGAGCAGCACUACUCUGCAUCUACAUCAACGUUGAUGCAAAUGCAAAAUAACUAAAGGGCCACUCGGUAACUACGUCAACAUCGACACAGACAAUGUUGCUCUAUAUCUAUGUCGACGUCGAUGUAAAUAGAAAGUAGCGAAAGGGUCACUUGGCAACUGCAUUGACAUCGACAUAGUGCAGAGCAACCCUCGCCUCUCGUCAUUGAUCUUCUCAUCCACAACAACCACCCGAGCAACCUUUCUGUCGCUUUGCAUCUGCGUUAGCACCGAUGUAGUUAUUGAGCAAUGCCACUCGGCAACUGCGUCGGUGUAGACGUAAAUAUAAAACGGCCCUCAUCUAUUAUCACCGUUCUCCUCAUUCACAAUAAUCACCCACGACCUCCAGUGACAUCGAUGUUUACCACCAUCAAUACUAUCCGUCACUAUCAACUAGAACGUUAAAAUUAUCUUUUUAUUAUUUGUUUUUAUAUUUCUGUCUAUAAAACCAACAAUAUUAUAGUAAAUGAAAUUAAAUAUUUCACUUUCAUAAUUAUAAAAAGUUUAAUAUAAAUUUUUUAAAUAUAAAAAUCAAGAUGCUAAGAAAAUUUAACUAGAUAAAAGAUAAUAUACAAUUAAAUUAACCCGAGAAGAGAGGAGAGGAACAAGGGUGUAGUUUAAACAUUAUGGUAGUUUAAACUUGGGACUUGUCUAGUGCAUUAUUGUAAAAGCCUGUUGUCGGAGUGUGAUACGUGUCCUAUUUUUAUUGAUGGCUCACCUGUGUGCAUGCUUUGAUAAAAGCUGGAAAAGGGAUUAAAGAACGCAGACCAAAUUCAAAUACAACCAUGGAUGCACGGAGGGGCAAAGCAAAACCAACAUAUGCAGAAAGACAACACGCUGUACAGAAGAAUACAACUACGCAAAAGCAAACAUAAUAAUUCUUUAGUUCAAGAAUCCAUAGCACACCCCGACCGGAAUAGAUAACCAUGUCCUAAAAAGCAUCCACGCUUCUCAUCACUACCAAAGUGUAGGUUGAUUCUAAUCAUCGCCCCCUAUUGGUCGGUCGGACUUGAAAACCAAUUAAAUUCAAAAGAGUAGGUCAAUCAAACACCCAUUCCAAACAAACAAAGCAAAAAACGAGUUCCGAUGAUAGAAUACAGAUUAGACGUGUUAGACAAAUCUACACUGAACCUGGACAUUUAGAUUCCAACACAUGAUAGCCUGUGCAAUAUGGAACCAUCACGUUGUGAAGAAUGUCCAGAGCUUCCUCCCCACUGAAGCAUUCUGUUGCUCGCAUUCCUCCUCAUCCUCAUCCUCAUCAUCUGAAGGAGUUGCUGGUCUGCUUCCAGUGGCUGCAUCAUCCAGAAUAUGCCCAUCUUCUCCACUCUGAUAGCUGACUUCAACUGAUUUCACAGUAUCAUCAUUACUCUCUGCCUAAGCACAUGAGAUACAGCACAUUAGGCCUGAUCCAUACCAAGUACUCGAAAAAAGAAAGGCAAUGAAUGUUUAUGCAUCUCAGACUCACAAACUAAACUCCAAUGUCCCGAGCAUAUCCUAGUAGACCAAAGUAGGCCAACUAAUUUAGCGAUAUUCCAUACAAGCUCCCAAUAGGUAAUGAGCCAUGUGAGCUACUCCUAGUGCAACUUUAAAAAAAAGUCUUCAUUCAACAAAUAGUUUCUCUAACAAUUAGUAAAAGUUCCAAUCAACAGCGAUGUAUCUGAAUAGCAUGAUCACAUUGCUGAUUUUGUGAAAUACAUUCCAAGUGUUAUGCAUCUAUCUACAAUAAUAAACAAAAAUAUUUCAUAUAUCCUGACCUAGUCUAAUGAAGUCUGUCAUAUAAUGAACCCGAUUCCAAAAACCAAACGACAUCUAUAAAACCAAGAAGCUGCAGAAAAUUCACAAUCCCAAGUCAUUCAAUUCCCGAUGCAAUCUAAAGACUUCAACUUACUUGAACAAUCUUCUGGGAGGAUAUCUCACGUACUUCUGCGAUACCUACCGCAGCUGUCUUUUGCAGCAUAUUUGAUGCUAUUAUGCUAUUAACAACAUCUGACACAGGUUCAACCGCAGGUCUAGAGGAUCCUUCACCACCAAUUUCCUUCAGUAUCUCAUUUCCAGUUAAUUGUCGAUCAUAGCCAGCCUUAAAUCCUUUAGUCUGAUCAGACAUUGUUUGAGCUGCAGUAGUGGUAGCUGCACUGAAAGACAGAAACAAACUUGAAAAGUGAGCUACUUGUUUUCAUUGCUAUGGUUCCAAUGCCAAAAAAACAAGGUUAUAAUGCUAGGGAACUAGUUAAAAAAUGUAAGCGAGAAGCAUGAACAGCGGCGAGGCAAGCAUCUCCUCGCUACAUUCCAUUCACACCCGUUAUCAUAAGAAAUAACCCAAUUUCUCAUUAGAAAGGAGACUGAAUAGUUCCAAUUUUUUACUAUACCACAUGAUUAUGAAAAUCAUACUUAAGUAGCUUUGAUGGGAGCCAACUUACAUUGUUGACCGUCUGAAAUUGUAGCGCUUCUCUACAGGAACUGCAGAAGCCAAUAUCUGCCUCCUUUUGCGGUGUCCUCCAAGUGAAAUGCUCUCAGAGUGUGCCUCACUAUCCUCAGCAUCCGGAUCACUAUUUGUCACUCCAGAUGUCUGAGCAACACGCCGCUUCCGCCCUGCACUUCUCACCGUCCUAGUAGAAUGGACUAAAUCUCCUUGGAUAUUCUCUGGGGCAUUUACAGGAUCUUUUGCUUCCCCAUUAUGUGGUCCAUGAUUCUUCUCAUCAGAACUCUGCUCAAGGAUAGCUUUUGCAUCUUUAACAACUGCCUUAAUGGUGUGUGUUCUCUUUACAGCUUUUGGCCUUCCUCUCCUGCCAGGUUGAGAUUGUCUUUGUUUGAAAGACACGCGUAGGUUGUCACUUCCAGCAGGUGCAUAUUUUUCUCUAUCAUUAAGAGAAACAGAGGGCAUAGCCAGCUGGUCUACUACAUCCCUGACACCAUUAUCCAUCUGGGUCUGGGUCCUCAUAAUAUGAAUAGAAUUAUUUGCUACUUCAAAAGAAGGUUCUGGCUCCUCUACAACUCCACAUAGCCUUUUAGAUUCUACAUUGUCUCCUAUCCCAGUAACAGAUUGGGCCCUCUGGCUGUCAGAAGAAUCAACAACACCAUAGGAUGCUGCAGGUUUAUGGCUGGCUUCACCAUCAAAAGCUUCUCUGUCGAGACUUGAAUAAAGAUUAGAAUUGUCCAGUGGAUGCUGAGAAGAAUCCAAAACCUUUUUCCCAGGAGAAAGGUUAAAAAGUCUUGAACAUUUUUGCAGCCAUGACAUGCGGCCACCAGAAGCUGCAGGAGAAACCUUAGCAUUAGUAGUCUCAGCAUUUGUGUCAUUCAGAUGCUCUUCAAAACCCAGGUUUGGUAGUUGAACAUCUCCUGCAUCUUGGAUGCAGAAAGUGUCCAAAUCACCAACUAAAAGCCCACAGUUUUUGCAUGUCUUCUGCUCAGCCUGAGCCAAAAAGCGUUCUUUCUCCUUCAUAAAUUCCUCCCUUUGUUCUUUAAGAUUCCUGCUAAGCAUCCGAAGAGCAUCAAUGUCCUUCUGAAUCUCAAGACGGUCAAUUUCCAGCCUUUUUCUGUACGAAGAGAGAUCUUCUUUUUCUCUUUCUAAUCGAUCUUCUUCCAUUUUUAGCUUCUGAAUCUUUAAAUCAUUUGAACUGCUCAAAGAUAUCAUUUGGUUAAAAUCCAAAUCCCUUUUUCUCUGAAAAUCAUUCUCUUUAUCAAGCAAUUUCUUCUCCGUAUCCUCCUGUCUUUUCUGCAUAUCCAUCUCAAGCUCAUGCUUGCAAAGCUCGAGUUCUCGAGCCAUAUCAGCUCGUUCCCGCUUGAGCACCUCAAGGGCCUCCAACCUCUCAUGCUCCAUUAUUUCCCCAAAGGCUUCUGUCUUCUGAUUUAGUUCCUCCAAUUCCCUCUCAAAAUUAGCUCUUGCUACCAGAGCCUCAUUGUUCAGCCUUUCUUCUUCAUCAUGUCGCCAUUUUUCAAACUUCUCUCUUUCAUCAUUAAAUUUCUUUCUCUCUGCUUCUAAUGCUAACCUUUUCUCAUCUAGCACUUCCCAUUCUUCUUCAAACUUCUCCCUUUGCUGUUGUAGAUCCUCGGUAUCUCGAAGAAGUGAUUCCUUCAAUAUCCUGCAAUCCUCACUUUCUUGCUUCAAAUUGGACUGCAGCAGUAGAUGUUCUUCCCUCUCUCCCUUGGUCAGCCUAAGAUUUUCUUCUUCCUUCAUAAUUUGUUCUUUCCUUGAUUCGAUUGCAGCCUUUAAGCUCUCAAGAUCAGAUUUAGACUUCAGAAACUCCUCACUAUCACUAGCCAGUUGUUGCCUUUCUUUCUCCAAUUUCUUUUCAUCAUUUUGGACAGAUUCCUCCCACUUCUUCAAAUCAUUUGAUUUUAAAUCGACGUCUUUCUCCUUAUCCAUCAAUUUUUGCAAGUUCAUUUGUAAAGCCUGUUCUCUUUUUGUGAUUUGCUCCUCCAUACUGUCAAUUUCCCUUCUCUUCUUCUCCACUUCACGUAUUUUACAUUCUAUCUCCUUACUCAAAGAUUUUCUCCUUUUCUCUAAAUCUAACUCGAACUCCUCUUUCUUGGAGCUUAUUAACAAAUUGUGAUCAUCAAGAAGCUUUUGAAUCUCAACCUACAGAAUAAAAAUAAAAUAAAAUAAAAGGCCAGUAUCAAUGACAUGAAAGAGAAAUAAGAGAUCGAAUCGCAAGAGACAUCUCUUGGAUACAGAAGUAUCAGAGGACUCAGGAUAAUCCAGUUCGAUCUUUAAACUAAAGAGCACAUUUAAGAAACAAAUGAAAGUACAAAUUCAACAAGAGUCCAAUGUCAGACUAAGUGAAAAAUAGUACCAUGUCUUUCAUAAUUAUUAAAAUUAAGAAUAGUACCAUGUUUUUUCAGAAAAGAAAAAGAAUGCUAUUUAUCAAAUUUAUGACAAGUAUAAUUUAUAAUGAGAUGGCAAGGACUUGAGGGAGCAUUCUAUUAGCAAAUAUAAACACUUCAAACAAAACUCACUCUUUCUCUAGCAUUAAGUUUUUCUUCUCUUGAAAUCAAGUCUUUUUCCUUAUUCUCCAGGCUUUCAACCUUAACAUCUACUUCCUGCAAUUGAGUCAAGUACCACGUUACAGAUGACAACUAAUAUCAGUAUAAACAAUACAGGAGUCUGCACCUUUUCUUUGGCAGCUAAAGAACCAAGUCUUUUUGUAAUUUCUUCUUCUUUUGUCUUCAAAGACUUUUUGGUGGCUUCAAUCAUCUUCCGAGCCUCUUCAGCAUCUGCUUCUUUCUUCUUAAGAACCCUAUCUGCCUCAUUAGUUCGAUCCUCUCUUUCGUUAAGAUACCUCUGCGUCUCAACAAGCCUCUUCUGACUAUCUUGAAGCUUUUGUUCCCAGUCACGCAGGUGUUCUCUUUGUUCAGUAAUGUCCUUUUCAUGUAACUUCCGUCUAGACACCAAGAGUAUCAUACAAGGAUGACAUACAACAAGAAAGAAAAUACUACACCCAAACGGAACUUAACCAAAUCCAGAGUGAAAUUGGCAGACAAAUCAAGAAAUGACGUAAAAAGACAUACCCAGAAUCAAAUAAGAGAUACUCUUUUUGAAGUUUAUGUUCACGAGCUUCCACAUCCUCCAAUUUUCUGUCAACAUCAGAACUUUUACGACUUGCUUCUGCUAGCUUGGCAUCUGCGGCAUGCAACUUUUGUUCAACUUCCAAAUAUUUUUCUUCUAAUCCGAUUUCUAGGGCAUGGGCAUCAUCUAACUUCUUAUCAGAUGUAAACUUGACUUCUGCAAGUUCAGAACGCAUCUCACGCAAAGCCUUUUCGAGCUGCAAAUGUUGUGAAUCCAUAAAAAAAGAAAGAAAACACUUAGGUAACAAGGAUAAUCACCGCACAUAGAAGAGGUAUAGGAAAGUAAACUAAUGAAAAGGAACCAUACAAGAUUAUGUGAUGAUAAGCUUAUUUCAAUCAUAGAGUAAAAAAGUCAAACUUUGCAGAGAAUGUUGGUGGUGAAUGUUAGGAAAGACCAUAAAUAAUCAAAGAAGAUCCAUUUGGUAAUGGACCCUCUAGCUAGUGACCUGAAAGGAUUCACGUAGUUGAUUUCAAACAAUAACAGUACCCUCUAUUUAAUAACUGGAAAGGAUUUGUGCAGUUGAUUCCAAAUAAUUGGGAGCAACAGCUCCUUUUUUUUUGGGGGAACAAUAGAUUGAUAAUGUUGAAAGAAGGAACUUACCAAAUCACCUCCAGGAAUCAGAAAAUGUUCUUAACGGAACAACACCACAAGUAACAGAUAUCACUUGCUCAUCUUCUAGGGUCAUGCAGAUUAGGUUAAGAAGCCAAACAUUAUUCAAGCUCUAUAACAAAUUAAAAAAAGGAAGUUCCCAAAGAAGUAACAUUGAAAAAUGAGGGGAGAGAGACAGGGAAGCAAAAGAAUCUGGAGAAACAAAAAAUAGAUGAUGAAUUAAUUAGUUCACAUCUCUUGACAUAGCAUAGACCAUUUCUAUCCAAUUUUAUACUAAAGUAACUCUUCCACUUAUUCACAAGCAAAAUAAAAUAAACCGCUUGAGAAAGUGUCAACACCUAAAAUGACCCAGCUUAUAAACUAGUCUCAUAACAAGAUUUAAUCCAGACACAAAGACAAACUGUGCUUGUUAAUGAGCAAGUGGCAUGAAAAGUAUGAUUGCCACAUUGAUUUCACAUGUGAAGUUAUUAUAAGCAUUCAAACAUCACUGAGUGCUCCCAUUAUGUUUCAAAAACAAAAUAUUUAAUAACAUAUUAUGCCAAAGGCAUAAAAAUAGAAAAAAUCUUUAACCUGAUGCAGAAAGAGAUCCUAACUUAUGAUACAAGGAACCAUGGUUUUUUCAAAUAUCAUUGUUGUGUACAGAUGGUACCAACCAUAUCACAAAGACCUGGUACCACAAAGGCAUAUAUGCACGGCUAUACUUGUCAGCGUCUAGUACCUAUAUAUCACCUACAUUUUUUGGUAUUUGAUUUUAUGAACAAAGGCAUAACAUAUCAUUGCAUAGUACCUAUAUAUCACCUACAUUUUGGUAUUUUAUUUUGUGAACGAAGGCAUAACAUAUCAAUGAAACAAACUAGCGAUUCCAAUAAUGACAUUGGAACUUACAGCCUUGCUAAGAACCACAACCAUAUUAAUUACAUGUUCAUGUUUAUCCAUGGAAAAUUACUGCACAAAAAGAAGAACUGACUCAAUGAGAAUUUUAAGUCAGAAAGAUGAUAUUCAAUAGCACAUAUCUAGAAAUCUAGUUUGCUCAACAAGAAUUAUCAUGCUUAUUCUUAAAAGAAGAAACAUGAUUUAGCAUGACCCUAGAGGCUUUUGUUCAACUUUGUUCAACAAAAAAAUUGAAGAUGAGUGAGAAUUAAAUUCAACUCAUACAUCUGAGACACACUGUUGUUCAACUCCCAAGGCCUUCUGCAAAUUCUCUUCUCGUUUUGCAAAUUCAGAAAUGGAAGCCAAGCAUGCUGAUUUUUCCUUUUUUAGAGUUUCAUCUACUUCUGCAAGUGCUUGACGAAUUUCUUCAUACUUCGAAGCCCAGUCCUUCUUCUCAAUCAAAAGAAGACCCAUGUUGUAUUGAUAUUCGUGAAGCUACAUAUAAAACAUUUGAUGAAUAUAAUUCACUUAGCACAGUUCAUAUUUAAUUGUUAGACAAAAACGAUAAAGAAACCAAAAUAAACAUGCUUGUCAAUAAACAAAAUUGAAGUAGAACUUUUCAUACUUUCAUUGUGGAUGUCACAGAUGCAUAAAAUAAACACAGAAAUAUUGCUAAACAAAAUAAACGAAGUUUUCGCUCCAUCUGGAUCUCGAUGGAAUUCACCCUCCACAAAGAAAAAUAAAAUAUUAUAGUUCCCCCAGUUCGUCCAUUCCUUACUGACAGGAUAAAUAGCAAAACAGAAAGUAGAACCGAAUGUAAUGCCGGUAUAUUUAUGCGGAACUACACUAGCAUACUCCAAAAGAGAAACACUGAUGUAGCCAAGUAAACAAUCAUCAGAUCACUAUUUCAAAGCAUAACCUUAUCAUGAAAUCCACAAAAAGACCAACUCAGUCCAAUUAAACUCCAAAAAUACAUGUGUUACUUAUAUGUUCUCAAUCUACAAGCAUGCAAAAUAAGAAAAGCAAUGAACAGAAAAAAGAUGCACUAUCCCUUUGCAAAAAUGUAGCAUAGAAAAAUCCAGCCACUCCAUGUUAUCUCAUGAAAUCAAGGAGACAAAGCCAGAAACCUUUCACCCUCUAACUUUAAUUACUUGAUAUCAGACUUCAACUCUCAACCAUGGCAUGUGCAUUUGUCUAUGCACUCCAUCUCUUUCCAGUUUACAAACAAGAGAGGGAGACGGAAAAAGAGUGACAUCACAAUCAACUCCUCAUACUCACCACUCCCCUUUCCUAUGACAGAUGCUUGGCCCUAAGGAAGAGAUGCAAACAAGAACAUGAAGAUUAGAUGAAAAGAAGAAAGAAGAGAGGUUCUCACCAUUAACUUAAGGCCACGCACAUUGUCUAGCACUUGGGACAAUACAUGCUAAUAUAUUCUAUAACAAAAGUCAACAAAACAGAGUUCUUUCAAAAUUCCAACCUACGCAUUUAUACUAUACAAGGCUUCGCCACAAGUACUUUCUAAACCAUGCUACAAUGUUUGCAAAGUUGCCGCUUGUCACCCUAUAUAUUGCAUAAAGAAAUCCAUGUGAAUACCAAAAUUAAAAAAUAUUUGAUAAUUCUGAAAGAUACAAUAUUUAUUUUAUUAAUUUCUGAAAUAAAAAACAAUGCAUGGCAUGAGUUGAUAGCUAGUUCAAACAAAAAUAGAAUCAACCAAUAAUUAAAGCAUACUUUUUUCGGAUAUAUCAGACUCAACAUACACAGUCUCUCUUUCAAUGAUUAUGGAAUUUGCUACCUGUAUUACACUUCCCUUUCAACCAAAGUCAUGUUAGAUAGCUUACACAUCCUUUGCCAAAAAUGAGACAACACUAAUUGGAAAUAUAGAUCAAUUGUAUCCAAGGACAGAAAUGGGCAGGGUGCUACAUCAAAAGGCAUAGAAAUAUCCGAACCAAAGAAAAUGGCAUAUAAACAAGUCAAAAUAUCCAAUGGGUUGAAAGAGGUCAUAAGAACCAGGACUUUUAGGUCCAAGAUUCAAGACAUGCAAAUAACUUUUCCUUGUAGGAUACAAUUCGGUCUUGCCUUGUAAACGAGAAGUUGUCCAUCCCCCAAAUAACAUGCAAGUUGACUUCUGACACAAAAUUCCACUAAGAAGCCAUCAACUAUAUAAUACAAUCCAUAAUUAACACAAGAAUUUGAACGUUCACAAUUAGCAUGGUUAGGGAUCUGCAUAAACAAAACAUUAAGACAGCAAGCAAACAAAGCGACGAUGUGACCACUUACCUCCUUCUCCAGUUCUGAAAUCCUCUGAACGAGAGCGUCCCUGUCCUUCCUCUGCAGGCUAGACUCAUCCAGCAGUCCAGCCUCUCUGAAACUCCGCCAUACCUCCGCAUCGCCUUGAUCCACAACCCCAAUGCUGCCAUUCUCUCCAAGUAAAGCCUGCAGUGGAGGUGGCGGAGGCAGCGCCUCCACCGCGCUCUUCCCCUUGCCCUUCAAGAAGGCUACUCCACUGCCAGUCCUAGUGUUCACCGCAGGGGUCGUCAUCCUAUUGUCGACCCCAUCGCCAUACCUUGGCGAAGGCGACCACCCUUUUCUCUGCGGCGUAAACAUCAAGAACCCCAGCUCCUCAUCAAGAAACUUUAAGACGAAGACCAGCACGAACGGAAGGGCCUCCCGGUCCCAAAUUGGAGACCCCACAAUCCAAUACUAACAAUACAGACGCUAAUAUCGGCACCUCCAAAUCAAGAAAAGAAGAUGGAAGACUAGAAAGAAGGCGAGCAAGAAUCCGCGAAUUUGUUCAAGGAUUUGGCCAACAGGGGAACUUGGAUCAAGGGGGCUUCAGAACCCUAGUCCGAAUAGAAACCUCAGAUAUAUUAGGGGAACAGAAAUCGCGGGGAAAAGUGGGAGGAGGGAGGAGAUGGAAAAGAAAGAAAGAGAGGGAGGGGGAGAGAGGGCAAAAAAAACCUAGAAUUGGAGGAGAAACAGAGAACGCAGAACGGGAGGAUGAGAGGGUAACUUUUCGUCGCUGGGCCUCGCGACCGCACCCUUUUGCCCCGUUUCUUCUCGCGAUCGCUACCGCUACCGCUUUUAACUGGACCGGCACCACCGUUGUCGGUGCUUUAUCAUGACGAAUCUGCCCCUGCGCUCACCACGGCAACGGUUGUUUCGUCAUUCCACUAUAUGAGACGACGUGGAACGGUGAAGUUUGUGACCAUGUCGACCAAAAUACCCUUUUAUCAACACCAUCCCCUUUGAUGCACGCAAUCUUCCGUCGAUCCGGACGGCGCGUUGUGGGGAACGAAGCCCCUGUGCGGUUGGACUCGAACCGGUCCCCUUUUAUCAACACCAUCCCCUGUGCGGUUGGACUCGAACCGGUCGAGUCGCGGUGACCCAGUAAAAAAGGUGCGUUGUGGGGAACGAAGCCCCCGAUGGAGGGGGUUGACGGAAUGUUGACCAGAUUCGCCGUUGACGCACCGAAUGCGGUGGCCUCGACUCGGACGUUCGAGUCGCUAAGGUCCAAUAACGAAGGACAUUUAUGGGAAUCGAGGGGGGAACGAAGUCGGUGGGGCCUGCGUUCUCGUAAAGAUUUGGAUUUAUUGGUGAUAGUAUUUCUUAUAUUUCCGUAUUUGUGUCUUCUUUUUUUUUUUUUGAUGAGGCGGUCAUCGUUUGGAUGGUUCGAUUUUUUCUUUAGAUUACUUUUCAUCACUUAAUUUCAAAAAGUGUAAAUUGGAAAUAUGGUUUUCAAGGCUAUGAUGGACGGACUCGGUGACAGAAUCAAGAGCCGCCGGUCUUCCAAUUUUCCCGAGGGAAUAUGCUCGUUCCAAGGAGAAAAAUAGACGGGUCUUGUUUUUACAUAGUUUAUAUGGGAGGGAAUCGGUGAGGAGAGGAAGAGUUCCAAAUUGUGGUGACCAGAAAAGUUUAGGAACAAUGGGAAGAGCUCUCUCGGUAGGGGUGUUGUCGAAGUAAGUAAUUUAAUUAUUAAAGGAGUGAGAUCAUAAAAUUAUUUAGGUAAAUGAAAAAUUGAAGACUAACUAAUAAAAGAUUUGCGUCUAAAUAGCAUUACCAAAAACAUGAUCAAAUUAAACCAAAAUACGAGCAGAAUCAUGAUGAUCGUUACCAUCAUAUAUAUUUAAAAUAUAAAAACCUCAAGUUUAUUAAAUCAUAAUAUUUAAUAAAAAAAUAUCUAAAAUAAUGAGGGUCUAAAAUAUAAUUGAAAUCACCCAAAAUGUAUUGAGGUAAAUUCAAAAAGUUCCCAUAAACAAUUUAUUUAUCAUUUAUGGGAAACAACAAAUAAAUAAAUAAAUAUGAUUUAUUUGCCGUCUAUUUGAUAUGAUUUAUUUGAUAUAAUUCUUUAUCUCAUAAUUUUUAAAAAAAAAUUCAUAAACGAUUUAUUUGUUAUAAUAAAGAUAAGAGGCAUAAAGGAUGAGAUUGAUAUAUUAAGACAGAUAAUUAUCACAUAAGAGGAGCCGAACCUCUUGCCAAAGGCAUUAUUGACGACAAAAGAAAGAUGUUAGGUGCAACGAUCAUGUCUAAUGCUCGUUUUGAACCAUUGGGCUAUUGCUCCUUCGUCUUCACCCAUGAUAAUUCAAAUGGCAGAAAUCAGUUCUAUAUCUAAUGUCAACCGACACACCAAAAGCUCUCCCCCUUCUUCUUCUGUCUUUCGUACUUUCAUUAGUAAAACCGAGAACGUUAAAAUAAAUAAAAAUAAAUAUUUUAUUUUUAUAACUAUAAAAAUUUUAAUAUAAUUUUUUAAAAAUUGAAAUAUUAAAAAAAUAAUAUAAAUAUAUAAUUAAAUCAUAUGCCCUUAAAAAUUAUUAUUUUUAGCUUAUUCUAAGGCCAUAUUACUGGGAGGUAAGCACACCGUCAAGCGACCUGAGCUUGCUGCUCAUUCCAACAAUUCUUCACCUUAAUUUCCCUUUGUUCGGCCAAAUAGCAAUUAACAACACGAUGUUUGCAUGUAGAAGAUGAUUUAUCUCUGAAUGUUCCUCUUCCCGACACCCAACAUGAUGCAAACACCAGAAAUUCUCAAUGAUGACACAGGAUAGGCUGCAGAUACCUGCACUUUAUUGCAGGAGUAAGCAGUUUACAUCAGCAUGUUACGUGAGCAUUGUGUUUUAAUGGACUAACAAUACGUGAGCAAAAAGGCCGGAACUCUUGUGGAGUGGUAUCCAUGAAAGAGGAGCAAAGUUGGUGCCAUACAUAUAUAUACAGAUUUUUGACGCAAAAAGCCACCAGAAUUAAGUGACAAUAUUUGACAUAUUUACCAGAAAUCCACCUAGCUGUUGUUUUGAGACUGUUGUUUUGAGAAGAGCAAGCGGCGCCAUCAGAUAGUGAAAUCUAGCAAGCCCCAACAGGAGUUCAAGGUGACUUUGUGAUGAAUAGCCACUGCAAGAGAAAGGAGACGCCGAAUCAGAAGCAGCGAACACUUGCUGAUACCGAAACAACUAAGUCAACUGCUCGAUAUUUGCUCAAACUCAUAAUUCCUCCAAGUUUCAAAUUGAUAUAACCAGUGGCAUUGUCUGCUAAAGCCUUGCAAAUUCAAAAUUUUUGAUAAUGGGUGAUCUUCGUUGAAACUAGAAAUGAUGUGAAUUACUGCAACUGAAUAAACAUGAAAAGGAACAUUAAAAAAAUUUUGUUCUUUUCUCCAAGAAAGAACUUACCAAUUUCCUUGGGGCGUGAUGCAUUAGGUUCUGGACAGGAAAGUGGACAGCAAGUUAUUGAAUCGCUGUACUUUUGCAUCAUGUACUUGUGAAGGUUGUGAAUGGUCAUGACAUAUGGUUCCUCCAGAACAUCUCCUUUUAUUUCUAGCUCGGAAUAAAAUAUCUUCUGUGUCUAACACAUAAGACACCUGGGAAACAAAGCAAGAAAAAUUACCUAAUAUAUUCACACAACUAACAAGUUUGGAGAUUAAGGCAGGGCUUCCAAUCAAGUACCUUAGAAGAACAAGAAGAAAUCUUGCAUUCCAAACCAUUGAUAACUUGGAUUCCAUCCAUGGCCUUGCCAACCACAGAAUGCUCAUUAUCAUCCCCAUAUUUUCGUUUAUUCCUGCAGAAAUUUAACCAGUCAAGCAUGGGAUUCCAUAAGAACACGUGACGAGCCCCAAUCACCCUUACCUUCCCAGGAAGACACCCUGUGCUCCUUUCCUAACCAAAACACUCGACAGAAAAUCACUGUACAGAUAAGAUGAAAAGUUGGGAUCUACUGAGACAGCAGCAGCUUCAGGAUUUACAUGUCCAUGUUCCAAGAGCUGAAUAGAUAGUUGGGUCACAUCUGAAGUCUGCGAAAACUGAAAAGAGAAAAAGAAGUGACUAUUUCAAAUAAUUAGAUACUGUAAUUGUUUAACUCUCCAUAAUCAAAUAUUUGAAACAGUCCACAUUUAUAGUCACAUCUUCUUCCUUAUAGCCCACUAAAGCAAGAACAAAAUGUUGAAUACUACAAACUGUCACGGACAAAUCUAUAAACAGUGUAUUUGAUGCAAUACUCAUAUAUGUCCGUAUUUUUCGGUUUUAUUCAUGCUUUGCACAGCAUAUAAAGGGUUGAUAGUAGGCUUAGCAGCCCCAUUUUCUUUGGUUUUGGUGGCUGUCUUAGAAUUGUAAACAAAGAUUGUGUCAUAUGGGCAGUUGUGGAGAUUUCGGUCUGUAGUGGACCAUUUUGGAUUCUUUGUUGUGCGACCGUUCAGAGUUUGUGAAGUCUGUUUGUAAUUUGCAUUGGCUAUGAAGUGUUUACCAAAAUGAUUGCUUGUGGAUACCGAGUGAAACACUUUCUCUAUCCGUUUUCUUUUUUGUAGGUCCUAAGAGAUCAUAGGAGGUUUCGGGGAGACUGACCUUUGCGGACGAACACGUAAUGGUGCCGCACGACUUAGACAAAACUAGCUAAGUGCGUGAUAUAUGGUAUCAGAGCGGGACAAGCACACAUAGAAAUACUUGGCAUGCAAAUGUGGGGGACCUAGCGAGACUAUGUUGAGGGCAACCAAUAUGUGCGAUCGUUUAGGGGAAACGAACAUGGAGAUGUAGGGAAAAGAAGUCGCUCAGAGGAGCGAGCAUCUGAGAUUGACAUUCAAAGGAAUAGCCAACUCUUCGCACAAGAGGCACCAUAAGGACAAGCAAGCUGGGAAGAAUGCGUAGUGCACAAAAGUUAGGAUGGCUGAGUUCGAGCUACGGCUCGACGUUGGCAACCAUACUUGAUGGUGCUCAAGGCAAGCGAGGUGCUUGGUAAAGGAUAAGACCAUGCAAAGUGGAAUGGGUUGCUCAACGACCGAAAGAGUUGUGCAAAGAUCACGAAGGUGAGGGGAAUUGCUAAUUCGAAGACUUCGAUACCCAUGCAAGGGCUUGUAUACAGACGAUGGAAUGUUCGUGGCCAUCCCAGGGCAACCGAAACUCGGCGCCAUGAAGCAUUAAAACUUUCUCUUCAGCAUGAGAAGGAUACGUAUGUAGGAGGCUGAAGUAUGCAACGAGUUCAGCAUGUUGCUAAGCCUCGAGGGUUGCAGCAGGGGCUGUAUUGGCGAGGAGUCUCAAUCUAGUAAGUGCAUUUGUGGGGGUAGAACAAUGCAUAGUUUGUUCAGCAAGGUAGAGUUGUCCAAGGAGAUGGUGGUCUCCGAAACUUCCAGAGGGAAGGAUGCGAAAAGAGAAAUUGCUCCAACGAGACAAAUACCUUAGAGGGGAUAAGUCCCGAUUCUCUAUAGGAAGAAUCAUGUGCAACGGACCGAGCGAGUGACGAGGAGUCAUCGCAUGAUCUCGCAUAAGGUAAUGCAUUGGAGGAUGCAUUGUGAGAUUAAGUAGGGGAGUGACCCAAGGCAACACAAAAUGAAGGCACACUUGGAGCUGAUAUGGAGAUCGAACUCAAUGGAGGGUCGACCCAUGGAAUGGUGGGCGCGAGGGCCACCAUCAACUCAAUGCAAAUCGAGGAGUGGAGUAACUUGGGUGUAACUUAGUGAAACACCCAAACCGCAUGAAGGGAGUCGGCAUAGAAGAUGGAACAUGGAGCGGAGGCACGAAACUUUCCUUGGACAGAGGUCAAGGGCAUGAACUCUUGCAGAGGCAAGAGCGGGAUUAUGUCGUUCCAUGGGUCCUUCAUUCUGAUGGAGCAGACUCUUCUUGCAUGGUGUCAAAGACGAAGGGAGCUUCGAGGCACAUACACCCUAUCUCGAAGAAGCAUUUACCGGAGGAACCAAGGCGACUCAACUUGCGGAGGCAAAGUUAGGUUCAGAAGGCCUUGGAACGGGACAAGAGGAUACAGAGGAGGGUACUCUUAAAGAAUACACCACAGUGCUGCCAUUCAAGUUGCCAUGAAGGAAGUAGAGCGCAGCGGAGAUUGUGCUGAUGGGGGCAGAGGCCUAGGAUCCAGACAAUGGUGCACCAAUUUCAGCGAAGUCAGUGAACUUCGAGAGCUACUAGGCGACGGACUGUUCUAAAGCUGUGAUUUAUUUGGGUAUGACCCGAGAGCGGGGUGAACGAAAGUCGAUUGUCAAAUGAGCGAACACAAUCGAAGGUAGAAGAGGCCUUGCGAUGUGUUGGCAAAGGCCACAUAUGGAGGGAUCACAAUCCAAGUUCAUCCUAUAAUGAUCAGAAUGCAAUGGAGAUGUUAUCAGAGGCGAUAUGGUGCAGUGGAUCGUGGUGGAACAGUUCGUGGCAAUGCGAUACACACACGAUCUAAUCCAACGAGGGACUAGAUCAUACGGAGGUAUGAUCGGGAGCUACUAGGAGCUCCACUUCGGUGAACAACACGAUAGCAAGAAAAGCUAUAGAUUCAAGGAGUGAAUGUCAUGGUAUCACAGAGGCGAAUCUUCUGUGCAUGCAUCGAAUUUUGCAUUGGAUAAAAACCUUGGUCAUCAACAUAGGGGGUUGUGUACCACCAAGGGAGAAUAUCGAAUGCAAAGUACCAGUGAGUCCUAUGGGGGGGACUUGAUCAUGCAGAGGUAUGAUCGAAGCGACUGGAGAGUUAGACUGCUCCAGAGCACAUAUUCGCUUAAGGUAGCCCGAUAAGUCAAAGGGCAAGACCGAAUAAACGAAUGUUGCUACCAAGGAAGCUAAGGAGAACAAAAUCGAUGCAAACCCUGCGACAUGAUGGCGGAGGUCAUGCAUGGAAGUUAUAGUCUGUCUUUCCAUCGACAAAGGGAAACUGCUCGGAAAACAUAGAUGUGUUGAAAUAGGAGGUCGAAAGGGGUGAGGAAGCGACAAUGAGUCUAGAGGGACUUAGCUACCCAAAAACCAGUGAGUCCCAUAGGGGGGACUUGAUCAUGCAGAGGUAUGAUCGAAGCGGCUAAAGAGUUGGAUUGCUUCAGAGCUCAUAUUCGCUUAAGAGAGAGCCCGACAAGUCAGAGGACAAGACCGAGUAAGCAAACGUUGCUACCAAGGA